GAACGCACCUUGCGCCCUUUGGCUAUUCCGAAGGGCAUGCCUGUUUGAGUAUCAUGAACACCUCAACUCUCAUGGCUUGCCGUGAUGAGCUUGGACUUUGGGGGUCUUGUUGGCCUGUGAGCCAGCUCCUCUUAAAUGAAUUAGCUUGCCGGUGUUUGGUGGCGUCACAGGUGUGAUAACUAUCUACGCUUGUGGUUUUCCAUCAGAUAACCUUCAGUGAUGGAGGUUCACCGGGGCUUAUAAACGUCUCUCCUCGGUGAGGACAGAUUUUGACCGUUUGAUCUCAAAUCAGGUAGGACUACCCGCUGAACUUAAG
rnacentral:misc_RNA from 1 species